UGGUCAGGAAGGGCUCAGGGACCCACGCGGCGUCGAUGUUGCCGCGGUCCAGCUGUGCCUGGGCAUCGGGGAACGCGACCUCGCUGAACUU
rnacentral:tRNA from 1 species